AUUGAACGCUGGCGGCAGGCCUAACACAUUCAAGUCGAACGAGUGGCGGAAGGGUGAGUAAUGUCUGGGAAACUGCCCGAUGGACGGGGAUAACUCCUGGAAACGGUAGCUACUACCGCAUACCCUCGGAUGUGCCCACAUGGGAUUAGCUAGUAGGUGUGGUAAUGGAUCACCUAGGAGACGAUCCCUAGCUGGUAGGAGAGGAUGACCAGCCACACUGGAACGGAGACACGGUCCAGACUCCUACGGGAGGCAGCAGUGGGGAAUAUUGCACAAUGGGCGCAAGACUGAUGCAGCCAUGCCGCGUGUAUGAAGAAGGCCUUCGGGUUGUAAAGUACUUUCAGCGAGGAGGGGUUACUCGCAGAAGAAGCACCGGCUAACUCCGUGCCAGCAGCCGCGGUAAUUC
rnacentral:rRNA from 1 species